UACGAAGGGGGCUAGCGUUGCUCGGAAUCACUGGGCGUAAAGGGUGCGUAGGCGGGUCUUUAAGUCAGGGGUGAAAUCCUGGAGCUCAACUCCAGAACUGCCUUUGAUACUGAGGAUCUUGAGUUCGGGAGAGGUGAGUGGAACUGCGAGUGUAGAGGUGAAAUUCGUAGAUAUUCGCAAGAACACCAGUGGCGAAGGCGGCUCACUGGCCCGGUACUGACGCUGAGGCGCGAAGGCGUGGGGAGCGAACGGGG
rnacentral:rRNA from 1 species